rnacentral:lncRNA from 1 species
GAGGUGCGUGCUAAGAGUAGAUGGUAACUACGGUGCGGGAAAAGUGGCACAAAGAUGUACUUGGCUCCACCAUUUACGGAAACCAAACCCCUAUUUUAUGCCUAAUUGAGAACCAUUUUAAUAUCCCUUUACUCUGAUAUGACAUCUCGGCACUAGAUUGCGGCCACUUUGUGGAGUGGGGUGGUGGAGCUCCUUUAUGCUCUCCGCUGCUUGCCCCCCUGAUGGAAUAAUCACCAUUAAUGGCAAGUCCCUCGGGGUGUAACGCAGUUUGGGAAGGUUCCUGCAGCACCCAACUCAGGCAGCCAGCCCCCUUUUUUUGCCUUUAGAGAAAAAGAGUGAAUUGGCUGCAUGCAGUUUGG